UACGUAGGGGGCAAGCGUUAUCCGGAUUUACUGGGUGUAAAGGGAGCGUAGACGGCAGUACAAGUCGGAAGUGAAAUACCCGGGCUCAACCUGGGAACUGCUUUGGAAACUGUAUGGCUGGAGUGCUGGAGAGGUAAGCGGAAUUCCUAGUGUAGCGGUGAAAUGCGUAGAUAUUAGGAGGAACACCAGUGGCGAAGGCGGCUUACUGGACAGUAACUGACGUUGAGGCUCGAAAGCGUGGGGAGCAAACAGG
rnacentral:rRNA from 1 species